AUUAAGUAUAGUUUUAUACUGUUCAUAUUUAACAUUUAACUAUUUAUCUUAUUUAAAAAAAAUUAUUAGUCAUAGUUUUAUUGUUGUUAGAUGAUAAAAUAUAAAUAGUACUACUUUAUAUGUGACUUUUUUAAAAAAAAUUAUAAAAUUUUUAAAUAAAAUAGAUAGUUAAAUAUUGGAUACGGAUACCCAUGACUGUAUUUAUU
rnacentral:pre_miRNA from 1 species